UACGUAGGGUGCAAGCGUUAAUCGGAAUUACUGGGCGUAAAGCGUGCGUAGGCGGUUUUGUAAGUCUGUCGUGAAAUCCCCGGGCUCAACCUGGGAAUGGCGAUGGAGACUGCAAGGCUAGAAUCUGGCAGAGGGGGGUAGAAUUCCACGUGUAGCAGUGAAAUGCGUAGAGAUGUGGAGGGACACCGAUGGCGAAGGCAGCCCCCUGGGUCAAGAUUGACGCUCAUGCACGAAAGCGUGGGGAGCAAACAGG
rnacentral:rRNA from 1 species